rnacentral:rRNA from 1 species
UACGUAGGUGGCAAGCGUUGUCCGGAAUUAUUGGGCGUAAAGCGCGCGCAGGCGGCUUCUUAAGUCUGAUGUGAAAUCUCGGGGCCUCAACCCCGAGCGGCCAUUGGAAACUGGGAAGCUGAGUACAUAAGAGGAGAGUGGAAUUCCACGUGUAGCGGUGAAAUGCGUAGAUAUGUGGAGGAACACCAGGUGGCGAAGGCGACUCUCUGGUCGUAACUGACGCUGAG